rnacentral:rRNA from 1 species
AAACCGCUCAGAGGUAAACGGGUGGAUCCGCAAAAUCGACCCGCGGAAUUCAGCGCGGCGAGCGGCUCUGGGCUGCCGUGGUUUGGGAUCCCUGGGACCCGACGACGGUGCCGACCGGGGCUCCGCCGCGUGCACUUUCCGCGGGUAGAGUGCCACAACCGGUUCGGCGGCGGUCACAAGCUUUGGGGGUUGCAGGUGGGGGCGCUUGCGCUCCUACCAGCUCUCAUUGCCAGGCCGUCGAGCGGACCGAGGAACCGCCGCGCGCUUCGAGGCCACCCUCCCCUCCUAAUGAGUACGACUGGGAGAGACUGGGCAACCGUGUCUCCCGACCGCUGAUCUGCGAUCGGCGUGGGGCUGGCCGGGCGCGCGUUGUCAGGGUUUGUGGCGAAUCUGUCGGCAUUCCACCCGACCCGUCUUGAA